AGCAGUUCCUUUCUAUGUGAAUUCAUGGUAGUUCUGUGUUUCUCAGGAAGACUGUAGGAAAAUGGUUUCAAAUACGAUGAUUACAUAUUGAGCAGAUGAGCUGCCUCGGGUUUAUGUCACAGCCCAUCUGCCUGUUUGAAACAGGCUUCCUGCACUGUGCCAUUUCCUCUCCAUCGGGCAGGCAGGGAAAAAGACUGCUCAUGCUGCAUCUUCAUUCUGUUUGACCUUUCUAGAGUGUUAUUUCACACACACGCACUAAAGUUUGCAUUCCCUUCUGUAAAUGUAAUUUUAAUCUCAUUCUAUUUUGGCAGCAGAUACCGUUGCAACAAAAUCUGUUCAUUCUUUAUCCCACUAUCUUCAUUGUGGAAGCUGAAAUACAACAUGUCAGCUGGAGAAGGGCAGCCUAAGUAGGAGGGAGUGGAUCCAUGACAGAGAAAAGAACA